rnacentral:lncRNA from 1 species
GUCCUGAUUUCGAAAUCCCGGACUUUAAAAAAUGAAAUCCAGAGGUCCCGAAUUUAAAGUAAUUUAAAAUAAAUCCCGCCAUCCCGAAAUUCGAAAAAAGAAUUCCCGGAUCCCGAAAAGAUUAAUUCCGAAAUCCCGUAUUUAAAAAUACCCGAUCCCGGAGUUCCGAUCCCGCCCCCCCCUUUCCCUCAUUUGUGUGGAUGAACUAAAUAACAAAACAAACAUUUACGAGUCAUGUCUCAGCCUGUGUGCAAUUGUAUUUUUUUUUUUUUUUUUUUUGUGUUUUCUUUUUUUUUUUUUGGGAGGGGGGAUUAUUUUGGUAGGCAUAUUAAACAUUAAUUUGUACAUCUGUUUUUAAGUUAUAUCUCAAUCUCCGUAAAAAAAAAGUACACUCUUCAUGUAUGAACAAAACUUUUGACGGUCUCCACCUGUAUAUAAAGAUUUACUUACUAUAAAAAUCCUUGACCGAGACAAAAUGCGUAAUUAUCAUUUUUUAAAAGAAUUAAUAUAUGGCGAAGAUGUAUGAGAUUUUGAGACAAAUAUAAUGAGGAAAUAGUUCUCAAUACAACAAAGGAUAUAUCUCGUAUUCCACAAAAGAUUGUCGAUAUUCUUUAUGAUAUAGUAUUGAUUUUGAUUUAUUGCUGAUGUUUAACGCCACGUUUCUCUAUCUUUGACAUUUUUCUUCUAGUUUAGUAUAUUUACCACAUGUAUCUGCUAGCAUCCGUAUAAUUCGAAAAUGCUCAAAUUAGAAUAUAAAAACAAUUGCCAAAAAGUUUGCACUUGUAAUCGGGAGGGGGGGGGGGCAAUGAAAUGUUUUCAAAAUAUUUUAGCAAUU